CCGAGGUCGACUUUUUCCCGCCGAAAGCCUCGACUUCACAGCCACGGCCGUCACAGCGCUCAAAUCAAAACGUAAUGUCGCGUGCUGGCUCGGAAAUGAUACGUGGAGAUGCAGUUCCUGCCUUCCUUCGACGUAAUCCGAUACGUUUGCGCUCCCUUUCAAAGUUACUGCACCCAUCACUGAGACCCCACCUGACCGGCAUCGGUUAUACGACCGAGUCUUUCGCCCGCUUGAUGCGACCUCGAUCGAACGAGUCGGCGUCGUUAAACGUUCCUUCGAUCGAUCAUCAAUUCGACAGGCACCGGCGUAUCGUCUUCUGCAUGCUACCCUGCGUCCUGUAAUCAUAAAAGACGGGCGCUGGCGAAUGCGCCUCGGGUGAUCGCUGUAUACACAUCCCGUGAGUUCAGGAAGGGGAAAAAAAAAAAGAAAGCAAGCGACAGUUUUACUAUACCA
rnacentral:lncRNA from 1 species